AUUGAACGCUGGCGGCAGGCCUAACACAUGCAAGUCGGACGGUAGCACAGGGGAGCUUGCUCCUCGGGUGACGAGUGGCGGACGGGUGAGUAAUGUCUGGGGAUCUGCCCGAUAGAGGGGGAUAACCACUGGAAACGGUGGCUAAUACCGCAUAAUGUCGCAAGACCAAAGAUGUGGACAUUAGGGCAUCUCACUAUCGGAUGAACCAAGAUGGGAUUAGGUAGUAGGCGGGGUAACGGCCCACCUAGGCGACGAUCCCUAGCUGGUCUGAGAGGAUGACCAGCCACACUGGAACUGAGACACGGUCCAGACUCCUACGGGAGGCAGCAGUGGGGAAUACUGCACAAUGGGCGCAAGCCUGAUGCAGCCAUGCCGCGUGUAUGAAGAAGGCCUUCGGGUUGUAAAGUACUUUCAGCGGGGAGGAAGGCGAUGUGGUUAAUAACCGCGUCGAUUGACGUUACCCGCAGAAGAAGCACCGGCUAACUCCGUGCCAGCAGCCGCCGUAA
rnacentral:rRNA from 1 species